rnacentral:lncRNA from 1 species
UGCCGGUGUUUUAUUUUAAGAUGCAAUGUUGUUGUAAACUCACGGAAACACCACGAGUCAUUUACUGCAGGAGCUAACAUUCUUAAGAAUGUUUUUUUUAUUUAAAAUUAUGCAAGUUUCUAAACUGUCCGAUAACAUUUAAGAACAACCCUCUUUUGUUUGUAUAUCUGUUUUUUUAUCGGGUGAUUGCUUUAUCCUGGAAGCCAUGUCUACCGUUCUCCUAUUCUCCACAGUUUUUAACUACUGCUUGUAAAG